UACGACAAUAUCUCACUGAAACACCGGUUCUCGUAUGAUCAUCGAAGUUAAGCAACGUCGAGCCUGAUCUGUACCUAGAAGGGUGACUACAUGGGAAUACUUG